UACGUAGGGUGCAAGCGUUGUCCGGAAUUAUUGGGCGUAAAGAGCUCGUAGGCGGUCUGUCGCGUCUGCUGUGAAAACCUAGGGCUUAACUCUGGGCGUGCAGUGGGUACGGGCAGGCUAGAGUGCGGUAGGGGAGACUGGAAUUCCUGGUGUAGCGGUGAAAUGCGCAGAUAUCAGGAGGAACACCGGUGGCGAAGGCGGGUCUUCUGGG
rnacentral:rRNA from 1 species